rnacentral:rRNA from 1 species
GACGAACGCUGGCGGCGUGCCUAAUACAUGCAAGUCGAACGCACUCUCGUUUAGAUUGAAGGAGCUUGCUCCUGAUUGAUAAACAUUUGAGUGAGUGGCGGACGGGUGAGUAACACGUGGGUAACCUGCCCUAAAGUGGGGGAUAACAUUUGGAAACAGAUGCUAAUACCGCAUAAAACCUAAACACCGCAUGGUGUAGGGUUGAAAGAUGGUUUCGGCUAUCACUUUAGGAUGGACCCGCGGUGCAUUAGUUAGUUGGUGAGGUAAAGGCUCACCAAGACCGUGAUGCAUAGCCGACCUGAGAGGGUAAUCGGCCACACUGGGACUGAGACACGGCCCAGACUCCUACGGGAGGCAGCAGUAGGGAAUCUUCCACAAUGGACGAAAGUCUGAUGGAGCAACGCCGCGUGAGUGAAGAAGGUUUUCGGAUCGUAAAACUCUGUUGUUGGAGAAGGAAAUGUAUCUGAUAGUAACUGAUCAGGUAGUGACGGUAUCCAACCAGAAAGCCACGG